rnacentral:rRNA from 1 species
AGCGACAGGCUUAACACAUGCAAGUCGAGGGGCAUCGGGGUAGUGCUUGCACUACUGCCGGCGACCGGCGCACGGGUGAGUAACACGUAUGGAACCUGCCCGCAGCAGGGGGAUAAGCGGAAGAAAUUCCGUCUAAUACCGCGUAACAACGUUGGGAGGCAUCUCCCGAUGUUUAAAGAUUUAUCGGCUGCGGAUGGCCAUGCGGCGCAUUAGCUAGUCGGCGGGGUAACGGCCCACCGAGGCGACGAUGCGUAGGGGUUCUGAGAGGAAGGUCCCCCACACUGGUACUGAGACACGGACCAGACUCCUACGGGAGGCAGCAGUGAGGAAUAUUGGUCAAUGGCCGAGAGGCUGAACCAGCCAAGUCGCGUGAGGGAAGACGGCCCUACGGGUUGUAAACCUCUUUUGUCGGGGAGCAAAGCGAACCACGUGUGGUUCAUUGAGAGUACCCGAAGAAAAAGCAUCGGCUAACUCCGUGCCAGCAGCCGCGGUAAUACGUAGGAUGCGAGCGUUAUCCGGAUUUAUUGGGUUUAAAGGGUGCGCAGGCGGAGGUGCAAGUCAGCGGUCAAAUUGCGGGGCUCAACCCCGUACUGCCGUUGAAACUGCAUCCCUUGAGUGCGCGAGAAGUAUGCGGAAUGCGUGGUGUAGCGGUGAAAUGCAUAGAUAUCACGCAGAACUCCGAUUGCGAAGGCAGCAUACCGGCGCGCAACUGACGCUCAUGCACGAAAGCGUGGGUAUCGAACAGGAUUAGAUACCCUGGUGGUCCACGCAGUAAACGAUG